rnacentral:misc_RNA from 1 species
UACGUAGGUGGCAAGCGUUGUCCGGAUUUAUUGGGUUUAAAGGGUGCGUAGGCGGAUUGAUAAGUCAGUGGUGAAAGGCAGCGGCUCAACCGUUGAGUUGCCAUUGAUACUGCCAGUCUUGAGUGCACUAGAGGUAAGUGGAAUUUAUGGUGUAGCGGUGAAAUGCAUAGAUACCAUAAAGAACACCAAUAGCGAAGGCAACUUACUAGAGUGUAACUGACGCUGAGGCACGAAAGCGUGGGGAGCGAACAGG